GUGGGGAAUCUUGCGCAAUGGGCGAAAGCCUGACGCAGCCAUGCCGCGUGAAUGAUGAAGGUCUUAGGAUUGUAAAAUUCUUUCACCGGGGACGAUAAUGACGGUACCCCUGGAGGAAGUCCCGGCUAACUACGUGCCAGCAGCCGCGGUAAUACGUAGGGGGCGAGCGUUAUCCGGAAUUAUUGGGCGUAAAGAGUACGUAGGUGGUUUUUUAAGCGCAGGGUUUAAGGCGAUGGCUCAACUGUCGUUCGCCCUGUGAACUGGAAGACUUGAGUACAGGAGAGGAAAGCGGAAUUCCUAGUGUAGCGGUGAAAUGCAUAGAUAUUAGGAGGAACACCAGUGGCGAAGGCGGCUUUCUGGACUGUAACUGACACUGAGGUACGAAAGCGUGGGGAGCAAACAGGAUUAGAAACCCUGGUAGUCC
rnacentral:rRNA from 1 species